rnacentral:rRNA from 1 species
UACGAAGGGGGCUAGCGUUGCUCGGAAUUACUGGGCGUAAAGCGCACGUAGGCGGCUUUCUAAGUCGGGGGUGAAAUCCUGGAGCUCAACUCCAGAACUGCCUUCGAUACUGGAGAGCUUGAGUCCGGGAGAGGUGAGUGGAACUGCGAGUGUAGAGGUGAAAUUCGGUAGAAUUAUUCGCAAGAACACCAGUGGCGAAAGGCG